UACGUAGGUGACAAGCGUUGUCCGGAUUUACUGGGCGUAAAGAGCGCGCAGGCGGUCGAUCAAGUCGAGUGUGAAAGCCCCCGGCUCAACUGGGGAGGGUCAUUCGAUACUGAUCGACUCGAAGGCAGGAGAGGGUAGUGGAAUUCCCGGUGUAGUGGUGGAAUGCGUAGAUAUCGGGAGGAACACCUGUGGCGAAAGCGGCGCACUGGACCAUAACUGACGCUGAGGCGCGAAAGCUAGGGGAGCAAACAGG
rnacentral:rRNA from 1 species